rnacentral:tRNA from 1 species
GGAGAGGUAUCGAAGUGGUCAUAACGGGGCUGACUCGAAAUCAGUUUGCGCGCAAGCGCACGCGGGUUCGAAUCCCGCCCUCUCCGCCA